AUCAACUGUUGGACAUCAUGGACAGUACAAUCAGAGGAUUCGUGUAACACCCAGGGUGAAAGCCUACCUGUAGUAAUAAUGUAAUAAUAAAAUGAUCUUUUCAUAAAGUUUAGCUAUGAUCCAGGCCACUGAUCCAGGCCAUAAGAAUUUCAGUAUCGAAAUAUGUCAUAGACUUUCUACGACAAUCCUGUGAACUAGUUAAUAUCCUCACAUACACAUUUUACUUCUGAGAAUGAGGCUUUAAGCAAAAAAGGUGAUCAUUUUUAUAUUGAGAGCCAUGUUGUCAACAGCAGAUAUAUCUGAUUAUGUCCAAGUUUAAAGUAGUCAUAAAAAUGUUUAUAAACUUCAGCAAAUUUGAUUUAUACAGUAAUGUAACACUGACAGUGCAUUUUUACUACAAAAAUAUAGUUUUGAAAAUUAUUAUUUCACUUUACUUUUUUUCUGAUAGUCCCAAGAUUCUUAAAGGACAUCAUAAAUUUCUGUGUGUAUGUGCAUAUCACAAUAAACAUAGUUAUUUUAAAAAAUAAUCUCCCAAAAUAUUGAAAGUUCCCUAUCUCUGCAAUGAUUUGUUUCAGUCCCCUCAAAAUAACUAGUGUUUGGCAUAAAAAUAUUUUAAAGUUAAUGUAAAUAAAAUUACUUCUCUU